GACGAGCGCUGGCGGCGUGCUUAACACAUGCAAGUCGAACGAUGAAGCUGGAGCUUGCUCCGGUGGAUUAGUGGCGAACGGGUGAGUAACACGUGAGCAAUCUGCCCUUCACUCUGGGAUAACUGCGGGAAACUGUAGCUAAUACCGGAUACGAGGCUUGGAGGCAUCUCCAGGUCUGGAAAGAAUUUCGGUGAAGGAUGAGCUCGCGGCCUAUCAGCUUGUUGGUGAGGUAAUGGCUCACCAAGGCGACGACGGGUAGCCGGCCUGAGAGGGUGACCGGCCACGCUGGGACUGAGGCACGGCCCAGACUGCUGCGGGAGGCAGCAGUGGGGAAUAUUGCACAAUGGGCGAAAGCCUGAUGCAGCAACGCCGCGUGAGGGAUGAAGGCCUUCGGGUUGUAAACCUCUUUUAGCAGGGAAGAAGCGAAAGUGACGGUACCUGCAGAAAAAGCACCGGCUAACUACGUGCCAGCCGCCGCGGUAA
rnacentral:rRNA from 1 species